ensembl:snRNA U6 U6 spliceosomal RNA
GUGCUCAAUUCAGCAGCACACACAUACACUAAAAUUGGAAUGAUACAGAGCAGAUUAGCAUGGCCCCUGUGCAAGGAUGACAUGCAAAUUCGUGAAGCAUUCCAUUAAAAA